rnacentral:misc_RNA from 1 species
CAGAGUUCUUGAAAAAGACUCCCAAACCAUUGUGAACAUACCCGUCCAACGUUGCUUCGGCGGGCGUCCCCCCGGGGGUGCCCGCCGGUGGCCUACGAAACUCUUGUAUUCUAGUGGCCUCUCUGAGAAAACAAGCAAAUAAGUUA